rnacentral:rRNA from 1 species
CCAAUAGCGUAUAUUAAAGUUGUUGCAGUUAAAAAGCUCGUAGUUGAAUUUCGGGAUCAGUACGCUGGUCGUGCCUUCGGUAUGAACUGGUGUCACUGGUUCCUCCCUUCUGAAGAACCGUCAUGCCAUUCAGUUGGUGUGGCGGGAAAUCAGGACUGUUACUUUGAAAAAUUAGAGUGUUUAAAGCAGGCUCGCGCUUGAAUACAUUAGCAUGGAAUAAUGAAAUAGGACGUUUGACCCUAUUUUGUUGGUUUCUAGGAUCGACGUAAUGAUUAAUAGGGAUAGUUGGGGGCAUUAGUAUUCAAUUGUCAGAGGUGAAAUUCUUGGAUUUAUUGAAGACUAACUACUGCGAAAGCAUUUGCCAAGGAUGUUUUCAUUAAUCAAGAACGAAAGUUAGGGGAUCGAAGACGAUCAGAUACCGUCGUAGUCUUAACCAUAAACUAUGCCGACUAGGGAUCGGAUGAUGUUAAUUUUAAUGACUCAUUCGGCGCCUUACGGGAAA